CCCUUCGUCGCCUUCUCUCGGCACUUAUCCUGAAUCUUCACGAGGGUUAGAUUGGCCAGCAAGACCAGCAGCAGUUGAAUUGCUUGACUCGGUCCGCGUCGAAGCUCAUUAGAAUGAUGACCUCGCUAGUCGCUGUUGGUCCGGCUCUGUUUGGCCUGGGUCGACAAGGUGAUUCCGAUUUUGGUAGAUGAUGGCGACGAGGGCAGCCCGAGCUCUGAUCCAUGCCUGCUGCUGCCGGAAGAACCAAUGGCAUUGCAAGAGGCACUCGACGAGCUUCCUAGCGAUGAUAACAGCCAUAACCGGCGCCGACGAACUUGGGGUCGCCGUUGAGGUAAAUUUGAUGAGGUAGGGGCCACCUAGGAAGAGAGGAUUUGUAGGAUUGCAUAGGAGAGCAGAAAAUCUGGUUCGCAAAUUAUGGAUCAGGGGUCAGGGGAUAGUCCACUGAUGUGCCCCUUACUUCGAAUGGACCCCAUUUUCAUCCGAGCGGGCUGCGAGGCUCGAAGCAAACGGAACAGCAGUCGAGGUUGUUUCGGAAGACAGGAAAGACGCCGUUGAUGCUAUCGUGCGCAUCUCGCUACGGCACGUCCUCGAGGUCGAGAGCUUUGCGGUGAUCGUUGAUGGCGAGCAACGGUCCGAUCCAAUAGAAAGUGAGCGUGCUGAGGAGUGAGAAAGCCAGCACUUGUGAACAGGGAGCUGUUUCCUGUACUGUACUACUCUCCACAACAAUGGUUCCUCGGAAUCCGAUAUGUAUCACCCGCUCCGGCAGAAGCCGGCGGUGGCGCUCACGAUAAGGACAGAGAAAGCGGCGCCGACGUCGAAUACCCCAGCAGAGGACGACAAAGCCGUGCGCUGUUUAAGUAGAAGAGAUCCACGGCGAGAAAGGAACAGGAAAUGAAAAGGAAGAAACCCCGCCGGAUUCUGAGAAACGCGGGUAUGCGAGGAGAGGCAGAAGGCGAGGUACACUGCUGUGGCGAGCCAAGCUGCCACCGAAUAGAUGCGUCACAGAGAUCGGUCACCCCACCUGGUCCAAUAACCGUCCGUCCAUGUGCCAGAGGAAUUUGAGAAAGGAUAGAGAGGAAUAGCAGAGGCCGAGGACAGUAUUGCAUGUGGAGAAGGCUAAUUUCUGCCAGAAAGAUCAGCGAUCUCUGCUUUGCGCUUGCUGCUCUUGCGGGAUUGCAGUCAAAGGAUGCUCGAUGCCAGAAGCAGACGACGAAGAGAAUAGCAGUUCCUCUUCUCCUCGAGAGUUGAGGUGUUAAUUGAUGCGAGAAAGGCGUCGCCUUGCGGCGCAAGGUUGCAGAGGAGCGCGGCGCGCUCGACUUCCUCGCACCACGCGCAGAUGCCCCCAUGCGCACAAAGACGACUACUACGGUGGACCGUGACGCAGAUGGCAUGAAUGCAUCAGCUCAGUGACAGGGUCUCACACGCCGGCGAAAAUAAAAAACAGGGUAGAAGGUCGCAAAGUAGUAUAGGGGACAAGAAAUUGAGAUUGCAUACUAGAUUUGUUCCCUGUUUUUUUGAAAAUAAAAUAGAUCUCCACUGUUUUAGGGUACAAUACAUUUUAAGCAAGUUGGGGUUUUAUUGAGGUUUUAGGAUAAACGUGGAAACACACACUCUGCGGUAUGAAUCCGACCAGUCCGAAGCAUUACAACCAAAUCCGACCCGACCCAAAUAAUACCUGUUUUCGCUUCACGGAUUGCUCUAGGGCACGCAUUUGGAGGAAGCUAAGAUUAGGGUUUUUGCAUCUCCCGUGUCCUUCACCGAUGGAGGAAGUCACCGAGGGUGUUAACAAUCUCCACAUCUCGUCUGCUGAUUCCCACAAGAAGAACCGGAUCCAGGUGUCCGAUACCAAGAAGCCCCCUCUUCUUCGACGUUAAUCUCGCCAAGAGAUACAUGCAGCAGCAUAAUGAAGUCGAGCUGUCUGCUCUUGGAAUGGGAUGAUCAGUUGGAGCCAACCAGAUGGCCAUAACAGUGGAGGCAAAAGGAUGCAAUUAUAAGGGGAAAAAGUGGAUCAGAUUAAGAUACGACGAUGACAGGACUGUGUGUUAUGGAUGAUUCGGAUCAAGUGUGUUGGUGAACUAGCAAGACGGGCAGGUACGCGUGGGGGCAGGUGAACUGACCGAAUGAUACGUUCACAGAGCAGAGUGUAGGGCUGAGGGGGGAGUGGGAAAGGAGCAGAAACAGGAGAGGAUAAGCGAGCAGAAACAGGUAGUUGAUAGUGGUGCUGCCACAGACAAUUGUGCGGAAAAGAUCUUUAAAGUUGAUCAUUAUUCUGCUAA